GAUGAAGAACGCAGCGAAAUGCGAUAAGUAAUGUGAAUUGCAGAAUUCAGUGAAUCAUCGAAUCUUUGAACGCACAUUGCGCCCGCCAGUAUUCUGGCGGGCAUGCCUGUUCGAGCGUCAUUUCAACCAUCAAGCCCCGGCUUGUGUUGGGGACCUGCGGCUGCCGCAGGCCCUGAAAACCAGUGGCGGGCUCGCUGUCACACCGAGCGUAGUAGAUUUUCAUCUCGCUCAGGGCGUGCUGCGGGUUCCGGCCGUAAAAAGCCUUAUUUACCCAAGGUUGACCUCGGAUCAGGUAGGAAGACCCGCUGAACUUAAGCAUAUCAAUAAGCGGAGGA
rnacentral:misc_RNA from 1 species